ensembl:rRNA 5S_rRNA 5S ribosomal RNA
GUCUAUGGCCAUGCCACCCUGAAUAAGACUGAUCCAGUCUGAUCUCCGAAGCUAAGCAAGGUCGGGCCUGGUUAGUACUUAAAUGGGAGACUACCUAAGAAGACCAGGUGUUGUAGGUG